AAAAAGAUAAGCUAAUAAAGCUAAUGGGUUCAUACCCCACUUAUAAAGGCCUAUCCUUUUCUUUUUA
rnacentral:tRNA from 1 species